rnacentral:rRNA from 1 species
UACGGAGGGGGCUAGCGUUGUUCGGAAUUACUGGGCGUAAAGCGUACGUAGGCGGCUUUGUAAGUUAGAGGUGAAAGCCCGGGGCUCAACUCUGGAAUUGCCUUUAAGACUGCAUCGCUUGAAUCAUGGAGAGGUGAGUGGAAUUCCGAGUGUAGAGGUGAAAUUCGUAGAUAUUCGGAAGAACACCAGUGGCGAAGGCGACUCACUGGACAUGUAUUGACGCUGAGGUACGAAAGCGUGGGGAG